rnacentral:lncRNA from 1 species
AUGGCACACACCCGCAGCACACAGCCUCACCUCAACCGGGUGGCAACAAAGAGAAGAAAAGAGAAACUAAAAGAGAUCUUCGAGCGCUUUGUUCGACGACAAGGCGGACGGAAAAAGUUUCCCUCGUUGUGCAGUGACCGACACGGCUCACACAGCGCAGGGAGCGGCGGACAAAGCCCCGCACGGCACCGGCCGGCAGAACGGGCACGGGGGGGGGGGUUGGGGGAGCGCAGUAUCGCAUCCCCACACGACAGCGGCCGCCCAGCCCAAGUUGUGUUAGCGCUGCCGGCUCCGAACACAAUUACAGCCCGAGCCCCGGCGGCGCGGAAGCAGCGCCAAUCCGCCUCGUCCCGCCCUCCUUCCCGCCGCUCUCCCCGCUCAUCACAAAGCGCCUCGCUCCGGCUCUCCCCGAACAAAGCCCCCGCCCCGCUCCCACCCGCCGCCCCUCCCGCCGUCGCCGCCCGCUCCCACCUCGGCGCCGCGAGCACACAAAGGCGGCCAGCCCGCCGCGCAGGCCCCGCGCCGCCCCGCCACAACAUGGCCCCCCUCCCGCCCUCUCUCCGUCUCUCCCCUCCCUCGCCGCAGACAAAAGGGGGCUGGAGGAACGGGGGAAGGGGGCCGGCCCGCUCCCUCCCGCGGCCCAACGCCCCGCGCGGUGCCGCCGCUACUCACGGGCUGUCUGGCUGGCGGCGCCGUUCGCCGCGACGGAGCCGGAGCGGGCCGUGGGACACCGCCGGCCGCCCGCCGCCCCCCGCCGCUCGCUCGUGUCGGCUCGUCUCCUUCCGGCCUCCCCUCCCCCCCCUCGGCCGCGAGGGGCUCACAACAACAUGGCGGGAGGGCGCGCGCGGAGGGAGAGGGACAGCGACAGCGCGGCCAAGCUCCCCCCGCCGCCACCGCCGCCGCUCGCCCCGGCCGCCGCCACAGCGCAUGCGCGCCCCGCGCCGGGAGGAGGCGGGGAGGCGGCCUCCGGCACCUUCCGCCGCUCAGCGCGCAUGCGCCGCCCGCCGUGUCCCUCAGAAUCACAGAAUGACCCGGGUUGGAAGAGACCUCAAGGAUCGUGUAGUUCCAACCCCCCUGCCCGGCCGGGCCACCAAACACACACAGUUACUAGAUCAGGUUGCCCAGGGCCCUGUCCAACCUGGCCUUGAACACCUGCAAGGACGGGGCAUCCACAACCUCCCUGGGCAGCCUGUUCCAGGGCCUAACCACUCUUCUAGUGAAGAACUUCCCCCUAACAUCCAACCUAAAUCUUCCCUCUUUUAA